rnacentral:lncRNA from 1 species
CAUCGAUGUCGGCCUUGGGCAGGCUCACAUCCACAUCUGGACCUUCUCCUUUGAAGCCAGGCAUGCUGAAUUUGGGCAUUUUCACCUUGGGCAUCUUCAGGUGCCAGUCUGGGCCAUGAACAUCCACAUCUGGGGCAUCAAUGUCCACUUUGGGGCCCUUGAUGUCAACUUCAGGGGCCUUUAGAUCACCUUCCAUCUUAGGCAGAGAAACAUCCACAUCUCCUUUCACCUUAGGGCCUUUCAGAUGCAAAUCAAAGUCAGGCAUGGAGAUCUUGGGGCAUUAAUGUCCACUUUGGGGCCCUUGAUG